rnacentral:lncRNA from 1 species
AGGCAACAAGGCUAAGUGAUCAUGGACUGAAAACUUUGAAAAUAAGCAUGAGGUAGCAUCUUCAAGGAUAGCAGAGAUAAUCUGCCUUCAAGAUAUUGUUCUUAGAACCUCAAAGGAAUUUAUACAGACCCCUGCCUGCUAAGCCAUAACACUGUAAGAGGACAGAGAAGUGACACUACAGAUGGGAGGACUGUGAAGAAGGCUUUUGGCCAAGUACAUAGGAAGGAACCUUUUUCCUUUAAGAGGUUUUUAUGUCAACCUGGCUAAUAUACUCACUUUUUCAAAGUUGGAUUUCUUUUCACUAUCACCCCUUGAAUUUGUU